AGAAUCAACGCUGGCGGCGUGCCUAACACAUGCAAGUCGAACGAGAAAGGGGAGCAAUCCCUGAGUAAAGUGGCGACCGGGUGAGUAACACGUGACUAACCUACCCUCGAGUGUGGAAUAACAUCGGGAAACCGAUGCUAAUACCGCAUAACAUCGGCGCUUUUAAGAGAUGCCGAUCAAAGGAGCAAUCCGCUUGAGGAGGGGGUCGCGGCUGAUUAGCUAGUUGGCGGGGUAACGGCCCACCAAGGCGAAGAUCGGUAGCCGGCCUGAGAGGGCGUACGGCCACACUGGAACUGAAACACGGUCCAGACUCCUACGGGAGGCAGCAGUGGGGAAUUUUGCGCAAUGGGGGAAACCCUGACGCAGCAACGCCGCGUGGAGGAUGAAGCCCUUGGGGCGUAAACUCCUUUCGACCAAGACGAUAAUGACGGUACUGGUGGAAGAAGCACCGGCUAACUCUGCGCCAGCAGCCGC
rnacentral:rRNA from 1 species